AGGGCGAACGCUGGCGGCAGGCCUAACACAUGCAAGUCGAACGGACCCUUCGGGGUUAGUGGCGGACGGGUGAGUAACACGUGGGAACGUGCCUUUUGGUUCGGAAUAGCUCCUGGAAACGGGUGGUAAUGCCGAAUGUGCCCUUCGGGGGAAAGAUUUAUCGCCAUUAGAGCGGCCCGCGUCUGAUUAGCUAGUUGGUGAGGUAAUGGCUCACCAAGGCGACGAUCAGUAGCUGGUCUGAGAGGAUGACCAGCCACAUUGGGACUGAGACACGGCCCAAACUCCUACGGGAGGCAGCAGUGGGGAAUCUUGCGCAAUGGGCGAAAGCCUGACGCAGCCAUGCCGCGUGAAUGAUGAAGGUCUUAGGAUUGUAAAAUUCUUUCACCGGGGACGAUAAUGACGGUACCCGGAGAAGAAGCCCCGGCUAACUUCGCGUCAGCAGCCGC
rnacentral:rRNA from 1 species